GACGUAGGGUGCGAGCGUUGUCCGGAUUUAUUGGGCGUAAAGAGCUCGUAGGCGGCUCGUCGCGUCGACCGUGAAAACCCGCGGCUUAACUGCGGGCUUGCGGUUGAUACGGGCGGGCUAGAGUUCGGUAGGGGAGACUGGAAUUCCUGGUGUAGCGGUGAAAUGCGCAGAUAUCAGGAGGAACACCGGUGGCGAAGGCGGGUCUCUGGAACGGUACUGACGCUGAGACGCGAAAGCGUGGGGAGCGAACAGG
rnacentral:rRNA from 1 species